GAUGAACGCUGGCGGCGUGCCUAAUACAUGCAAGUCGAGCGAACAGAUAAGGAGCUUGCUCCUUUGACGUUAGCGGCGGACGGGUGAGUAACACGUGGGUAACCUACCUAUAAGACUGGGAUAACUUCGGGAAACCGGAGCUAAUACCGGAUAACAUUUGGAACCGCAUGGUUCUAAAGUGAAAGAUGGUUUUGCUAUCACUUAUAGAUGGACCCGCGCCGUAUUAGCUAGUUGGUAAGGUAACGGCUUACCAAGGCGACGAUACGUAGCCGACCUGAGAGAGUGAUCGGCCACACUGGAACUGAGACACGGUCCAGACUCCUACGGGAGGCAGCAGUAGGGAAUCUUCCGCAAUGGGCGAAAGCCUGACGGAGCAACGCCGCGUGAGUGAUGAAGGGUUUCGGCUCGUAAAACUCUGUUAUUAGGGAAGAACAAACGUGUAAGUAACUGUGCACGUCUUGACGGUACCUAAUCAGAAAGCCACGGCUAACUACGUG
rnacentral:rRNA from 1 species